rnacentral:tRNA from 1 species
GCCGGAAUAGCUCAGUUGGUAGAGCAGAGGACUAAAWC